rnacentral:lncRNA from 1 species
CAUAUGUAUAAUUUGUUCUCAGACAUUGCUGUGAAGACUAAAUAAAAUGCCAUAUGUGGAGGUCAUAAUGUAAUACCUAACACCAGAUAAUUGAGUUUCUAGUCAUAAGCAUGUGCUGUUACCAUAGAAGGUUUGAUGAUAAUUAAGAAGUUCUUGGUUAAACAGCAUUGCUUAAAACACAUAAUAUGGAUAACACCACUCCCAGGAAGAUGGAGCCUUGGUCUCAGACUGAUAGUUUCCCAUUGCCGAUAUGAUGUAAAUUAUUACAGUAUCAACAGCAUUGAUUUUCCAAGGAACUUGAUGCAGCAAAUAAAUAUGUGGUUCAUCAGAAAGAAGCAGAAUCAAGUCAAAUGGGAUUUUAUGCAACAACAUUGGACAUACUUCAUUUAAACGCUUUCAUUUAAAAAGGUAUUUCUACUAUCUAUGCCCAAGUAAGAGAGCAGUAACUUGAGCUACAAAGAAUUAAAAAAAAAACCCUGUCUUGUCAA